UUCUCUGCAGGAUUUUCAAUGAAUUGAUGUUUAUAAGGACACUGUAAUCUGAGUUUUUAUGCUACACUGGUGACACCUACUGUCAGGUUCUCGUGCUAAUGUGAAACCACAGGAUAAAGAGAAAGCGGCUUCUAAACAGGAAGGGAAAUGAGUGCAAUGGCCGAGGGAGACCCAAGUGAGGAACAAUAUGGCUCAUAUGAAUUGAUAACGGACUACCCAGUUGUCUAUGAAUACACAG